GGCUGGUCCGAUGGUAGUGGGUUAUCAGAACUUAUUAACAUUAGUGUCACUAAAGUUGGUAUUCAACCCCCCACUGCUAAAUUUGACUGGCUUUNN
rnacentral:Y_RNA from 1 species